GGUUAAGUAGGUACUGCCAUUCACCCAGAGUAAUAUCAGUGUUUGGGCACCUAUCCUGCACCCAGAAAGCUCCCGAUGACUGUGAUGAAUGAGUUUUUCUCUCCUGAGGCCUUUCUUCCCACCUGAAGCCCGUCUCAAUAAUUAGUGCGACGCAGAGAACCUGAUGCCACCUCUCCGGAUUGUCCCAAGCCGUUUACUUUCCCAGCUGCAUUGUGGAUUGAAACCUCCAGCCUCUAUACAAACCAAGAUUUGCCUAACAAUGGCUCGUCCAAGUUCAAGUAUGGCUGACUUCCGGAAGUGUUUUGCAAAAGCCAAGCACAUAGUCAUCAUUUCAGGGGCUGGCGUCAGUGCUGAGAGUGGGGUACCGACUUUCAGAGGAGCGGGAGGUUAUUGGAGAAGAUGGAAGGCUCAGGACCUGGCAACCCCUCAGGCCUUUGCCCGAAACCCAUCCCAGGUGUGGGAGUUCUACCACUACCGGCGGGAGGUGGUGCAGAGCAAGGAGCCCAACGCCGGUCAUCUGGCCAUCGCUGAGUGUGAGGCCCGGCUGGGCAGGCAGGGCCGACGGGUCACGGUCAUCACGCAGAACAUCGACGAGCUGCACCGCAAGGCUGGCACCAAGAACCUUCUGGAAAUCCAUGGUAGCUUAUUUAAAACUCGAUGUACCUCUUGUGGAGUUGUGGCUGAGAAUUACAAGAGUCCAAUUUGUCCAGCUUUAUCAGGAAAAGGGGCUCCAGAACCUGAAACUCAAGAUGCCAGAAUCCCAGUGGAGAAACUUCCCCGGUGUGAAGAGGCAGCAUGCGGGGGCCUGCUGCGACCUCACGUGGUGUGGUUUGGAGAAAACCUGGACCCUGCCAUCCUGGAGGAGGCUGGCAGGGAGCUGGCCCUCUGUGACUUGUGUCUCGUGGUGGGAACUUCCUCGGUGGUCUACCCCGCCGCCAUGUUUGCCCCCGAGGUGUCUGCCCGGGGGGUACCGGUGGCCGAAUUUAACAUAGAAGCCACCCCUGCAGCGAACAGAUUCAGGUUUCAUUUCCAGGGGCCAUGUGGGACGACGCUUCCUGAAGCCCUUGCGCCUCAUGAAACUGAAACUGUUUCUUAAUUGCCCUGAGGAAGGAAGAAAUCACAGUGCAUCUAUAAGUACCAGGCCACCAACAGGAGAAACAGUCUUGUGGAUGGAAUUGCUUCCAAAUCAGAGCAGAGGAAAAGCGAAUUGAAAAUACUCCACAAUUUAUGUGAGGUAGGAUUAUUCAGUUCAAUUCAAUAUUUACUGAACAUCUGCCGUAUGACAGACAUUAGAAGUACAGUGCUUAGAGAGAGAUGGACCAUCCCUCAAGGAGUUCACAAAGACUGGGUUGGGACAAUUGUCAUAUGAACUGGUAAACAGCGUGGAAGCUAUAGUUACAGAAAUGUGUUCAAGAUUCAGAGAAUGCCAUUAGAGAUGAGCAGAGUGGGGAUGGGGUCGAUCUUAAGGUGCUUGGAAGUCUUUAAGAGGAAGUCAGCCUGGGUGGGAGUUUUUGAAGGUAUAAAUAGGAGUUCCAAGGGCAGAGUGUGUGUCACUAGGGCAUGUCCAAAUGCAAGGUAAAUAUGAAAUAGCUUGGUUUGUUCAGAGAAAGAUGAAUCAUUUGCUAUCGUAUAAUGGGUGAGAGAAGAUAAACGCAAAGGUCAUGAAGGGCCACGUAUGCUAGGAAAUGAAAUAAGUAUACUUGGGGCGGGGGCAUAAAUAUACACAGUACGGGGGGGUUGCGUCACUAAGUGACGGUAGGAUGGGCAGACACCGUGCAAGGUCCUGGGGUUACAGCAGGGAACCGGGGAGGGGGGGUCCCCGCUCUCAGUGAGCU